rnacentral:rRNA from 1 species
UGGGGAAUUUUGGACAAUGGGCGAAAGCCUGAUCCAGCAAUGCCGCGUGUGUGAAGAAGGCCUUCGGGUUGUAAAGCACUUUUGUCCGGAAAGAAAUCCUUGGCUCUAAUACAGUCGGGGGAUGACGGUACCGGAAGAAUAAGCACCGGCUAACUACGUGCCAGCAGCCGCGGUAAUACGUAGGGUGCAAGCGUUAAUCGGAAUUACUGGGCGUAAAGCGUGCGCAGGCGGUUUGCUAAGACCGAUGUGAAAUCCCCGGGCUCAACCUGGGAACUGCAUUGGUGACUGGCAGGCUAGAGUAUGGCAGAGGGGGGUAGAAUUCCACGUGUAGCAGUGAAAUGCGUAGAGAUGUGGAGGAAUACCGAUGGCGAAGGCAGCCCCCUGGGCCAAUACUGACGCUCAUGCACGAAAGCGUGGGGAGCAAAACAGGAUUAGACUACCCUGGUAGUCCACGCCCUAAACGAUGUCGAACUAGUUGUUGGGGAUUCAUUUCCUUAGUAACGUAGCUAACGCGUGGAAGUUGACCGCCUGGGGAGUAACGGUCGCAAGAUUAAAACUUAAAUGAAUUGACGGGGUCAUAGCUGUUUCC